GUUACUUUUCACUGAACACGUACUGCUCGGACUGCGAGUGUUUUUUUUUUUUUUUUUUCUAAGUUCUAUCAUCGCUACACCGGAAAACGCAAGAGUUCGACUGUGUGUGCAUCACGAGUUGGUUUUGCUUCCCAAAUUUCUUGUCUGGCAAGAGGGAAGCACAGAAGAGGAAGGGGAAGAUGAUGAAACGUGAAGAAUCGCAAGAGGAGGAAGAGGGCGAUGAGCCGAAGACGAGGACGAGGAGUCGUGAAGAGUCGCAAGAGGAAUAAGAGCUGCUGCUAAUGGACAGUCUUGUGCAGAGGGGAAGCACAGCGAAGAGGAAGAUGAAGAGCAUUAAAAGUUAAGUGUCGCAAGAGGAGGAAGUGGACGACGACGAGGAGGGCGAGGAAAAGUGAAGGGUCGCAAGAGAGAGAAGAGGGCAAGGAGUAGUGAUGAGUCGGAAGAGGAAGAGGAGCUGAUGAGCGGGUGUGUGUGAUUUCCUAUGUGGUAUUUACAAUUUAGUAAGUGGUUGCAUUGCGAGUUGUCCAGCCUCGGUCAGCGCGUGUAGUCACUGGCCUAGGAGGGAAAGGGAGACGUGGGGCCCGACCGGCCGACUGUGUGCUGCAGCUGCUGCCUGCUAGCGCCGCCGCCGCCGCUGUCAGAGUGAGCAGACGUCAAGUAGGAAGGUGUGGCGUUUGAAAAGCAUCCGUGUACAGUUGCCUUAUUUAACCUGUGGACUUUUAACAACAAGACAGUGACACGAGCCAUGAUUGCCUUUUGUGUGCUGGUGUAGGCUUUGGUGCUUGCCGGAAGUCUUGCAGCGGCUUAUGAAGGCCAGGAAGACUCAUAUUUAAUGGUAAGUGACCCAGCAAAACCUGUCGGCGUACUGAUGAGACAUGUUGUUCAGGUCCUUCAAUGGAAACUUUUUGAGUUUAUUUUGCCGUCUCCCUGCUUCAUCCUAUGGUUGUCCAAGUAAGGUCUCAGAGCCAUAGCCAAGUCAAAGGGUGGUAAGGAUAAAAAAGAAAAAAUAAAUUAUCAACAGGCUUCCCUCAUGGAGGCCUUAAAUGUAGAUAACCCAGACCUGCUUAGCGCUUCUAAUUCUCACCAAGCUACUGGUCCUACACUAGUUUCCCGUAACUUAGAUAAAGUUGAUAAAGUGCUACCUGAGGAUUAACUAUAUAGAAUGAGAGGGAGGAAAAGGUUAAGAUGAUUUAGUCCCAUGUGAGCGAAUUAGCAUAUAUUAAAUACCUGGUGUACUACUACUUGUCUUCAGAAAAUCGUUAGUAAAGACGUGUCAUUUUGAUGCAGAGUUGGUUUGCUAGCCAGCAAGCCAACAUCGUGUCUGCAAAGCUAGUUAGUGUUCGUCACCUUGCCUCGCCUCGCCGCAGGGCCUGACGGCAACAAAUGUCAAGUGGUGGAUGUGUUGCUCCUACCUGAUGUGUCUUGUAAGCCACAUGAACAGCCACCCAUCUUCAAUUGUAAUAAUGUAUUGCAGUGCUCUAUAUUAAGAUUUGUAUGUAUUCCUCAAUAAAUCAAUGUAUGACUAUAUUGAUGUGAAAUACAUAUGUAGUUUGUAAUUUGUUUUAGCAAUGUUUAUGGUUGUCUGUGAUAUGAGUUAAUAUUUGGUCAACAAAGCAUACAAGUUGUCUUUCAUACAUAUAAAAGUUUAAGGCGAGUUUUGCACAGAGGCCCCGUCCACCCUUUAACGGGAGAGGGUGAGGAGUAAAGUGAUGACCUCCCUGCUUGGGGAGGGACGGAUUCCCCUAUGUGCAAAACUCGCCUUAAACUUCGUAUAUUUUUUGGGGGGUUGGUCUAUUAUAGGAUAAGGAACUACCAGAAAACUUAUUUAUUCACAUAAUAAAUGUUCCAUUGA
rnacentral:lncRNA from 1 species